rnacentral:rRNA from 1 species
GCAAGUCGAACGAGAGAGGAGGAGUUUGCUUCUUCGAUCGAGUGGCGAACGGGUGAGUAACGCGUGAGGAACCUGCCUCAAAGAGGGGGACAACAGUUGGAAACGACUGCUAAUACCGCAUAAGCCCACAGGUCGGCAUCGACCAGAGGGAAAAGGAGCAAUCCGCUUUGAGAUGGCCUCGCGUCCGAUUAGCUAGUUGGUGAGGUAACGGCCCACCAAGGCGACGAUCGGUAGCCGGACUGAGAGGUUGAACGGCCACAUUGGGACUGAGACACGGCCCAGACUCCUACGGGAGGCAGCAGUGGGGAAUAUUGCACAAUGGGGGAAACCCUGAUGCAGCGACGCCGCGUGGAGGAAGAAGGUCUUCGGAUUGUAAACUCCUGUUGUUGAGGAAGAUAAUGACGGUACUCAACAAGGAAGUGACGGCUAACUACGUGCCAGCAGCCGCGGUAAAACGUAGGUCACAAGCGUUGUCCGGAAUUACUGGGUGUAAAGGGAGCGCAGGCGGGAAGACAAGUUGGAAGUGAAAUCCAUGGGCUCAACCCAUGAACUGCUUUCAAAACUGUUUUUCUUGAGUAGUGCAGAGGUAGGCGGAAUUCCCGGUGUAGCGGUGGAAUGCGUAGAUAUCGGGAGGAACACCAGUGGCGAAGGCGGCCUACUGGGCACCAACUGACGCUGAGGCUCGAAAGUGUGGGUAGCAAACAGGAUUAGAUACCCUGGUAGUCCACACCGUAAACGAUGAUUACUAGGUGUUGGAGGAUUGACCCCUUCAGUGCCGCAGUUAACACAAUAAGUAAUCCACCUGGGGAGUACGACCGCAAGGU